GACAAGAUCCUCAAUGGCUCUAGACUAGUCUUCUGGAUAUAAACACACCAAUGAAAAAGCUGUAGUUUUCUUCAUAAGCUAAGGAUGUGAGGACCUAAAGGAGCAGGGUUCUGAUGACAAAGCUUAAAGAUGAGCAAUUCGGAAGGAAGGUUUGGAGAUUCAACAAAGCCAGUUGCCAGGCAGACAUCAGGUUUUGUGAGAUUCCCUCGGAGUUAAUGAGCCUGAACUCAGACAAACGCUCGAUACUGUGGAUACCUCGCGUGAUAGCGACUUCAACACCUACAACCAGGCGUGUCGUCUGUGAAAACCCUGUUUGCUGUGUCCUGUGUAAAACUCAAACACAUUUGUUUUCAAACCUCCUGGAGACACAUUCUCAAGUAACU
rnacentral:lncRNA from 1 species